rnacentral:rRNA from 1 species
UACGUAGGGUGCGAGCGUUGUCCGGAAUUAUUGGGCGUAAAGGGCUCGUAGGCGGUUUGUCGCGUCGGGAGUGAAAUCCACUGGCUUAACUGGUGGCUUGCUUUCGAUACGGGCAGACUGGAGGUAUGCAGGGGAGAACGGAAUUCCUGGUGUAGCGGUGAAAUGCGUAGAUAUCGGGAGGAACACCGGUGGCGAAGGCGGAUCUCUGGGCCGGUACUGACGCUGAGACGCGAAAGCGUGGGGAGCGAACAGG